UACAGAGGUCCCGAGCGUUGUUCGGAUUUACUGGGCAUAAAGCGUGCGUAGGCGGUCCGCGAAGUCUGAUGUGAAAGCCCCGGGCUCAACCUGGGAACUGCAUUGGAAACUAACGGGCUCGAGUGUGGCAGAGGGGGGUGGAAUUCCACGUGUAGCAGUGAAAUGCGUAGAGAUGUGGAGGAACACCGAUGGCGAAGGCAGCCCCCUGGGCUAACACUGACGCUCAGGCACGAAAGCGUGGGGAGCAAACAGG
rnacentral:rRNA from 1 species